UUCCAAAGCUCUUUGUCAGGGGAUUUCUCAGUUUAUUAUCUAUAAACCACCAAUACAGAAGUGCCUGUUACAGUUUUGGUAAAUUAAUAUUGCUGGUAGUUCAUUAUUCUUCGUUUUGAAGAGCCUAAAUGGAUAAAUUUGGUCGGAAAUGCCUUCGUUCUGAGGACGAUCUCGUUCAAUGUUACAGCAAUGAGGAUCUUAAGAGUUGAGAGCAGCAUAGAAGCAUAUUUGUUUCAACUUUUCCAUGGCUGCUCUCGUAGUAAAGAACUUCACAUCU
rnacentral:snoRNA from 1 species